rnacentral:rRNA from 1 species
UACGUAGGUGGCGAGCGUUGUUCGGAAUUACUGGGCGUAAAGGGCUCGUAGGCGGCCAACUAAGUCAGACGUGAAAUCCCUAGGCUCAACCUAGGAACUGCGUCUGAUACUGGAUGGCUUGAAUCCGGGAGAGGGAUGCAGAAUUCCAGGUGUAGCGGUGAAAUGCGUAGAUAUCUGGAGGAAUACCGGUGGCGAAGGCGGCAUCCUGGACCGGCAUUGACGCUGAGGAGCGAAAGCCAGGGGAGCAAACGGG